GGCGCAGUGGCAGAGUGGUCUAAUGCGCAAGACUAGAAAGCUUGUUCCUUCGGGAGCGUCUGUUCGAAUCAGGCCUGCGUCG
rnacentral:tRNA from 1 species